UACGUAGGGUGCAAGCGUUAAUCGGAAUUACUGGGCGUAAAGCGUGCGCAGGCGGUUUUGUAAGUCUGACGUGAAAUCCCCGGGCUCAACCUGGGGAUUGCAUUGGAGACUGCAAGGCUAGAAUCUGGCAGAGGGGGGUAGAAUUCCACGUGUAGCAGUGAAAUGCGUAGAGAUGUGGAGGAACACCGAUGGCGAAGGCAGCCCCCUGGGUCAAGAUUGACGCUCAUGCACGAAAGCGUGGGGAGCAAACAGG
rnacentral:rRNA from 1 species